GCCCGGGCCCGCGGCCGUUCUCCCCGCUCACCCGCAGCCUUGUCCGCCGCCAUCUCUGCCGCCGUUGCCGUGCGAUCCGAGCGCGCUGAGCGGGACGAGAACACUCCCCUGCUCCGCCGAACGCCGCCUGCUCCUCCGCCGAGCGCCGCGCCGCCUUCGGGACUACUUUACCGCCAGUCCCCUCCGCGCCGCUCCGUCCCUAUUCGCCCGCCGCUUCCGGGUUGCCGGCGCCCGCCGACGUGCAACCGUUGCUGGGGACCGCGUCUGACGUCACGACGCCGCUGCGCUCCCUCCCGGGAGGGGCGCCGUGCGCAUGCGCCUCGUCACCUCGCUGCGUCCUGUACGCCGCCAUGUUGUUGGCCUUACCCGGCGUGAGGGACACACCUCUGUGGGCUCAGCAGCUGCGCGUCGCCCCGACCGCAGCCUGGAAGAGGGCCUCAGGAGCCCGGCUGCUGAGGGCAGUUGGCAUCGGUUCUCUUGUGAGCCUGUGAGCUUCCAUCAGCGGACUCUCCUUGCUGCCACCAUCAGGCUGCAGUUCCUGUGAGAUGUUGCCUUUAUGAUUUUGCCGUCUGUUAACAUAGGAAUACUUCCUUGUAUUGUUUCUCCAGGUCUGGUUCUCCAAGGCUUCCCCUCCUUGCUCAUUUACUCCUGUUAAACAUCAAGUCACUUUUCUGCUCAUGUCUGUAAGUGUACAUAUACCCAAUUCUGAUCAGUAGAUUCCACCUCGUAAGGUUUUGACAUUGUUGCCAGCUGUCAACAUUUGCAAAGACAGACCAGGCAAUCUAAAGCAAACUGCACAUGUUAGAUGCCUGCUGCGCAUUCAAUAAAGAUGUGAGGACGAAAUUUAUCCUUAGGGAGGUGGACAACAGAACUGGAUUAGUGGAAGAAGGAUUUCCUGCCAGUGUUCUUAGAAUCAUAGAAUCACAGAAUCGUUAACAUUGGACAGAUCACUAAGAUCAUCUGGUCUGGCCACCAGCACAUCCCCACCGUGCUCACUGACCACGUCCCUCAGUGCCACAACUUGAGGCCAUUCCCUCUUGCCCUGUCACUGUCACCCGGGAGAAGAGGCCGACCCCCACCUCACCACAGCCUCCUUUCAGGCAGCUGUAGAGAGCGAUCAGGUCUCCCCUGAGCCUCCUCUUCUCCACACUGAACAAUCUCAGCUCCCUCAGCUGCUCCCAUCAGACCUGUGCUCCAGACCUCACAGCUCUGUUGCCCUUCUUUGGACACACUCCAGGGCCUCGAUGUCCUUCCUGCAGUGAAGGACCCAAAACUGAACACAGCACUCGAGGUGCGGCCUCACCAGUGCCGAGAACAGAGGGAACAUCACCUCCCUGCUUCUGCUGGCUGCGCUAUUUCUGACACAGGCAUCCAGCUACUCUGUUUUCCCUAAAGCUACUCUCUGACACAAGGCAGAGGAAGGUUUGUAAGGAAAGGUGAUACUUUGUUUAACAAAGGGAUAGAAUUAGAAAGAAUGUACAUAUGCAUGUAUGUAACAUGCAUACAACCUCACCGGCUCUGAAUGCCUUCAAACCAUCAGAGCUUUCAAUGAGCCAAGCUGUGUAAAAUGACACAUUUUUGAAAACAGUCGGUGAAAAAUUUCAAGAGUACAGUGAUUUUCUUUUUGUAAUUCUGAAUAUUCCAACUUGUGCUUAAUGACUUCUAUUAAUCACAACUUCUAUAGCUCCUCUUCAGUUUACCUGGAUUGUCAGGCUUUCUUUUGCACAUAUGCGUAUAUAUAUGUGAGAAAAUCCUACAAUCCUUAUACAUAAAUAUUUUAUUCCAAGCCUCUGAAUUUGUUGUAUUUCUUUUGUGAGAAACAGCUGCCGGCCCAGGCUGUCAGCCCAUGUCUGUGUGAGAACAUCUGCCAAUAAAGCUAUGGCAGCAAGCCCUCCUCA